rnacentral:misc_RNA from 1 species
GUGAGUCAUCGAAUCUUUGAACGCACAUUGCGCCCGCCAGUAUUCUGGCGGGCAUGCCUGUUCGAGCGUCAUUUCAACCCUCAAGCUCAGCUUGGUGUUGGGGAUCGGCAAGGCGUCCUCCGGGUCGCGCCGUCCCCCAAAUUUAGUGGCGGUCUCGCUGUAGCUUCCUCUGCGUAGUAAUACACCUCGCUCUGGAGUCUCGGUGCGGCCACGCCGUAAAACCCCCAACUUUUUCUGGUUGACCUCGAAUCAGGUAGGACUACCCGCUGAACUUAAGCAUAUCAAUAAGCGGAGGA